GACGAAACGAGCGAACGUUGUUCGGAAUCACUGGGCUUAAAGGGCGCGUAGGCGGGUGCUCAAGUCUGUGGUGAAAUCCUCCGGCUCAACCGGAGAACUGCCAUGGAUACUGGGUGCCUCGAGGGUGGUAGGGGUAUGCGGAACUAUCGGUGGAGCGGUGAAAUGCGUUGAUAUCGAUAGGAACUCCGGUGGCGAAGGCGGCAUACUGGACCACUUCUGACGCUGAGGCGCGAAAGCCAGGGGAGCAAACGGG
rnacentral:rRNA from 1 species